rnacentral:lncRNA from 10 species
GACAGACUCACGCAGAACUGGUUGUCUUGGCUCUGAGAAUACCUAUCACAGGGUGGGUCUGUGGAAACCACAGCACCUCCCUCUGGUCAACAGAGUCACAGAGAGCAAGCCUGUGACCGUGAGGAUGAGGACCUCAAUCAACAGGGAGUUGCACAGGCUGGGAAUCUGGAGGAAGACCACGGAGCAGGAAGACACAGGAAAACACUUACCCAUAUGUGGCUUGGAAGCCUGCCCCCACUAGUAUCACACUGGAAAAGCUGGCAGCCCACACACAUUAUCCACUGAAGUUGGCCUUCCGGGUAGACUCCUGGUUUCUGAGGGCGACUUCAACAUAAGCCUUCAGCAGAGAAAUUCCAUCUGGAUGUCAUAACAGCAGAUCUGAGUUAUAUGAGUCAAUAAUCAAGGAAAUAUUAAACUCACUCGCUCAAUGCAUCUUUGGACUGAUUGUUACAGGAUAGGAGCAUUUCAGUGGCAUGUUUCAAGGCAAUCAUCAGUCUCAGAAAAAGAAUGUAGCCCAUGUACAUCUCUGAGCAGAUUCAAAGUGUCCAUAACUGAAUCGAUGUAUUGUGUCAUGGAGGGUAAGACAUCCAAAAAAUAAUACCCAAUCCAGAUGUUGUUUGGUGAAGAUGGAGAGGAAUCCGUAACCAAAAGAACUCCCAUUGUCAGGCCAGGAGCGGUGACUCAGCUUGUAAUCCCAGCACUUUGGGAGGCCAAGGCGGGCAGAUCACAAGGUCAGGUGUUCGAGACCAUCCUGGUCAACAUGUGGAAACCCCAUCUCUACUAAAAUUACAAAAAUUAGCUGGCUAUGGUGGCAGGCACCUGUAAUCCCAGCUACUCAGGAGGGUGAGGCCGGAGAAUCACUUGAACUCGGAAGGCAGAUGUUCCAGUGAGCCAAGAUCACACCACUGCAUUCUAGCCUGGGCAACAGAGCUACAUUCCAUCUCAAAAAAAAAAAAAAAAAAAAAAAAAGAACUCCCAUUGUGUCAAACCACUCCCAUUGUCAAAACUCACCAGUGCAAAGCUGAGGACUGGGCUGGGCAACGUUCUACACACUGGCUUACUUAAUUUACACCCCCAAAUCCACACUAUUAACAGUAUUUUACCAAUUUAACAGUACCAUGGACAAAGAGAUGUUUUGUGGAAAUUAAAAAAUUUUUAAAAAUUAAUAAGAAAAUAUAGAAUGUACUAGAAAAGAACAAAAGAUGUGAACUCAGAGUUCACAGAAAAGAAGCACAAAAAUAUCAGUAAGAAUAUAACUAAGAGGCUCUACUAUACAAUUUAGUUCAUAAUUAAAUAUUGCAGAUCAAAAUAACACAUAGGUACCCACUUUUCCAUUUGAAAACAGCAACAACAACAAAAAGAAACAAACAACAACAACAGCAACAAAACUUUUAAAACCCUAUUGCCAACCACAGUCUAGAAAUCCAGGCCCUGUCCUACAUGACUGGGGGCAUGUAAAUUUCAUAAGCUACCUGGGGAGAAUUGGGUUAACAGCUAACAAAACUUAAUUCUACCAACUUGCUGAUGGUAUAAUUUUACUAUCAGAAAUGCUCCCUAAAGUCAUCCAAAAGCAGUAAGUAUGAGGAAAUGCACAAUGAAGUUUUAAAAAAUCAGAACCGAC